rnacentral:rRNA from 1 species
AACGAAGGCUUCGGCCUUAGUGGCGCACGGGUGAGUAGCGCGUGGGAACCUGCCCUGGAGUGGGGGAUAACCGAGGGAAACUUCGGCUAAUACCGCAUGCGCCCGGUAGCAAUACCGGGGAAAGAUUUAUCGCUCUAGGAGGGGCCCGCGUCGGAUUAGCUAGUUGGUGGGGUAACGGCCUACCAAGGCAACGAUCCGUAGCUGGUCUGAGAGGAUGAUCAGCCACACUGGGACUGAGACACGGCCCAGACUCCUACGGGAGGCAGCAGUAGGGAAUAUUGGACAAUGGGCGAAAGCCUGAUCCAGCAAUGCCGCGUGAGUGAGGAAGGCCUUAGGGUUGUAAAGCUCUUUCGGCGGGGACGAUGAUGACGGUACCCGCAGAAGAAGCCCCGGCUAACUUCGUGCCAGCAGCCGCGGUAAUACGAAGGGGGCAAGCGUUGUUCGGAAUUACUGGGCGUAAAGGGCGCGUAGGCGGCCAUCUUUGUCAGGCGUGAAAGCCCCGGGCUCAACCUGGGAAUUGCGCUUGGGACGGGGUGGCUUGAGUUCGGGAGAGGAGAGUGGAAUUCCCAGUGUAGAGGUGAAAUUCGUAGAUAUU